AGCGGUUACUUGCACUGGACUUAUCUGGUCACGCUACAGCUUAGUAAUUACGCCGAAAAAUUGGAAUCUUUUUAGUGUAAACGUUGCAAUGGCUGCUACAGGCAUUUACCAACUUGCACGCAAAGUUCAGCACGAUUACUUCUCUGAGAGAGAGGUGGAUGUUGCAGAAGAAUAAUGACAAAAAUAUCUGAAUUGCAUCUUACAUCUUAGAUGUAGGCUC